UUCAGAGGAACCUGUCCUAUAAUUGAUAGUCCACAAUUUAAAUUACUUAUUUUAUUAAUUUACAUAUCGCCGUAGGUUGAAUAUUUUUGAAGAAAAUUAAUGUUCAAGAUUUUAUAUAUAAAAUUAAAUCAGGUCAAGGUGUAGUUUAUAGAUAAGAAGAGAUGGGUUACAAUAAAUUUAUUUAUACGGAUAAUUAUUUUAAAUAUUAAUUUGAAGGUGGAUUUGAAAGUAAUAUUUAUUAAAUAAUAAAUAUGAUUUUAGCUCUAAAAUAUGUACAUAUCGCCCGUCAUUUUCAUUAUAAAGUGAAACAAGUCGUAACAUAGUAGGUGUACUGGAAAGUGUACCUAGAAAGGCAAAUUAGAGCUUGAUAUAAAGCAUUUUAGUUACAUUAAAAAGUUUAUUGUGAAAAUCAAUAUAAUUUGAAUUUAAUUAAUUAUUAAAAUUUUAAGUUAACUAUUAUUUAAAUAAAAUAAUUGAUUGUUUUAUUAUUCAUGUAAAAAAAAUUUUUUUAUUAUAGUAAAUUAGUAUUGUGAAAGAAUUUAGUUAUUUUUUUUAUAGAAUAUUUUAUUUUUAGUACCUUGUGCAUCAGGGUUAAUUAAAUAAAUAUUAUAAGUUUAAUUUUCUCGAAUUUAAAAGAGCUAUAAAAUUAUAAUUUUUAUUGUGAUAUAAAUAUUAAUAAUAAUUUUAUUGUAAUGAAAUGUUAUUCGUUUUUAAAUAUAUCUAGUUUUUUAAGAAAUAAAUUUAAUUUAAUUAAUAAAAAUAUUUAUUUAAAUUUUUAAUUUAAUAUUAUUAUUAUUAAAUAUUUUAAGGGAUGAGCUUUAAAAUAAAUUAUUAAAAAUUAUUAUAAAAUUUAGUUAAGUAGGAUUAAAAAUUUUUAUCUUUAGUAGUAUGUUAUAAUAAAUUUAAUAUAUUAUAAAAUUUAUAUUAAUUUUAAAUUUUUUAUUAAAAUAUUAAUUUUUAUUUAAAAAAUUAGGAAAUUAUGAUUAAAUUAGUAUAAUUUUUUGUAUUUUGUUUAAAUUUAAAGAUUAAAUAAAGGAAUUCGGCAAAAAAUUUUUCACCUGUUUAUUAAAAACAUGGCUUUUUGAGUAUAAUUUAAAGUUUAACCUGCCCAAUGAAUAAUUAAAUGGCCGCGGUAUAUUGACCGUGCAAAGGUAGCAUAAUCAUUUGUUUUUUAAUUGAAAGCUGGAAUGAAAGGUUGGAUGAGAAAAUAACUGUCUCUAUUUAAAUUUUAGAAUUUUAUUUUUAAGUUAAAAAGCUUAAAUAACUUUUGAAGACGAGAAGACCCUAUAGAGUUUUAUAAUUUAAAUUUUUAAUAAAUUUAGAAUUUUUAUAUUUAAUUAUUUAAAUUAUUUAAUUGGGGUGAUUAAAAAAUUAAUUAAACUUUUUUUGUAUUAAAUCAUCGAUUAAUGAAUAAUUGAUCCUUUAUAAGAUUAAAAGAUUAAAUUACCUUAGGGAUAACAGCGUAAUUUUUUUUUAGAGUUCAAAUUAAAAGAAAAGAUUGCGACCUCGAUGUUGGAUUAAAAUUAACUAUUGGUGUAGAAGCUAAAUAAUUUGGGUCUGUUCGACCCUUAGAAUUUUACUUGAUCUGAGUUCAAACCGGUGUGAGCCAGGUUGGUUUCUAUCUCGAAAAAGUUAAUAUAUUUUAGUACGAAAGGACCUAAAUAUUUAAUAAAAAAUUUUUAUUUUAGAAUUAUAUUGUUAUUUUGGCAGAAUAGUGCGAUAGAUUUAGAAUCUUUAUAUGUAAUUUUACAAAUAAUAUUGUUAUUUAAAGAUUUUGUUAUAAUAAUAAUUUCAAGGGUAAUUUUGGCUUUAACAGUAAUAUUAGGAGUUGCUUUUUUAACUUUAUUAGAACGAAAGGUAUUAGGAUAUAUUCAAAUUC
rnacentral:rRNA from 1 species